GCCCGUAUAGCUCAGUGGUAGAGCGCGUCACUCGUAUGAUCUCCAUGUGUAAUGACGAGGUCCAUCGUUCAAUCCGGUGUGUGGGCA